UAGAGUUUGAUCAUGGCUCAGGACGAACGCUGGCGGCGUGCCUAAUACAUGCAAGUCGAGCGGACCUUUCAAAAGCUUGCUUUUGGAAGGUCAGCGGCGGACGGGUGAGUAACACGUGGGCAACCUGCCUGUGAGACUGGGAUAACUUCGGGAAACCGGAGCUAAUACCGGAUAAUAUAAGGAACCUCCUGGUUCUUUAUUGAAAGAUGGUUUCGGCUAUCACUCACAGAUGGGCCCGCGGCGCAUUAGCUAGUUGGUGAGGUAACGGCUCACCAAGGCGACGAUGCGUAGCCGACCUGAGAGGGUGAUCGGCCACACUGGGACUGAGACACGGCCCAGACUCCUACGGGAGGCAGCAGUAGGGAAUCUUCCACAAUGGACGAAAGUCUGAUGGAGCAACGCCGCGUGAGCGAUGAAGGCCUUCGGGUCGUAAAGCUCUGUUGUUAGGGAAGAACAAGUGCGAGAGUAACUGCUCGCACCUUGACGGUACCUAACCAGAAAGCCACGGCUAACUACGUGCCAGCAGCCGCGGUAAUACGUAGGUGGCAAGCGUUGUCCGGAAUUAUUGGGCGUAAAGCGCGCGCAGGUGGUCCUUUAAGUCUGAUGUGAAAGCCCACGGCUCAACCGUGGAGGGUCAUUGGAAACUGGGGGACUUGAGUGCAGAAGAGGAAAGUGGAAUUCCAAGUGUAGCGGUGAAAUGCGUAGAGAUUUGGAGGAACACCAGUGGCGAAGGCGACUUUCUGGUCUGUAACUGACACUGAGGCGCGAAAGCGUGGGGAGCAAACAGGAUUAGAUACCCUGGUAGUCCACGCCGUAAACGAUGAGUGCUAAGUGUUAGAGGGUUUCCGCCCUUUAGUGCUGCAGCUAACGCAUUAAGCACUCCGCCU
rnacentral:rRNA from 1 species